GACGAACGCUGGCGGCGUGCCUAACACAUGCAAGUCGAACGGAGUGCUUUAAAUGAUUCCUUCGGGAUGAAUUUUUGGUUACUUAGUGGCGGACGGGUGAGUAACGCGUGAGCAACCUGCCUUACAGAGGGGGACAACAUUGGGAAACCGAUGCUAAUACCGCAUAACAUAUCAGAUUCGCAUGUUUCUGAUAUCAAAGAUUUAUUGCUCAAGGAUGGGCUCGCGGCCGAUUAGGUAGUUGGUGGGGUAACGGCUCACCAAGGCGACGAUCAGUAGCCGGUCUGAGAGGAUGAACGGCCACAUUGGGACUGAGACACGGCCCAGACUCCUACGGGAGGCAGCAGUGGGGAAUCUUCCGCAAUGGACGAAAGUCUGACGGAGCAAUGCCGCGUGAGUGAUGAAGGUUUUCGGACCGUAAAGCUCUUUGUUAUGACGAAUGUGCAUGAUGUGAACAAUGUUGUGUAAUGAC
rnacentral:rRNA from 1 species